rnacentral:tRNA from 1 species
GGGUCGGUACUAAAGCGGUCAACUAGGGCAGACUGUAAAUCUGCUGGCUCAGCCUUCGUAGGUUCGAAUCCUACCCGGCCCA